rfam:Oryza nivara chromosome 3, whole genome shotgun sequence.
AAAAAGGCAAACCCUAAGUUUUCGUACUAACGUUUGACUGUCCGUCUUAUAUGAAAUUUUUUUAUAAUUAGUAUUUUCAUAUUUGUUAGAUAAUAAAACAUGAUUAAUAUUUUAUGCGUGACUUAUCUUUUUAAUUUUUUUUAUAUUUUUUUCAAAUAAGACGGACGGUCAAACGUUUGGACAUGGAAACCAGGGUUUGUCUUUUU